UUGAGGAAUUUAAAAAUUAAAGAAUUUGGCGGUAUUUUAUCCUAAUAGGGGAAUUUGUCCUUUAAUCGAUAGUCCGCGUAAGAUCUUACCUUGAUUUUGUAUGUAUACCGUUGUUGUUAGAUUACUUUGUAUAAUUAGUGAGUUUUCAAGAUAAAUUAUUUUAUUACUUCAAAUCAAGGUGCAGUUUAUGUUAAGGAAGAGAUGAAUUACUAUAAGCAAGGGGUUGAUAGGGAGAGGAACCUUUUUUUUGAUAUAGGAUUUAUUAGUAAGUUUAUAUUAAAUUGGUAAGCUGAAACAGGGUCUAAAAUAUGUACAAAUUGCCCGUCACUCUAAUUUUAAGGUUGGAUAAGUCGUAACAAAGUAGAUGUAAGGGAACUUGCCUCUAGAUGUUAGAAUGAAGCUUUAAGCGAUUUAUUUACAUUAAAUAGUACUCUUUAAAAAGAGCAUUUUAAGGUUUCAUAUUAAUUUAUGGAUUAAUCUAUUGUUAGUAAAGGCAAUUUUAGGGGUAUUGGAAUUGAUUAGAAAUUAAGGAAAAAAUUUUUUUUGAGGGUUGUAAAAGGGUGAGGGAAACCAAGUUAAAGUAAUUUUAAGCUGUUUGUACCUUUGGUCUCAGGGUUUAUUAAAAUUUUUUAUAUAUUUAUAUUUCCCGAAGGGAAAAGGGCUAUAUAUUUAAUAUGGCAUUGUGGUAAAGAUGCUAUGAAUAAAUUUAUAGUAACGAGAUGUUAUCGGAUUUUCGGGUAUCUGGUUCUUAUAAAAAUUAUUAGGUUAUU
rnacentral:rRNA from 1 species